GUCUUUUGAUCGUCAAGGUAUUCUUUUUGGGAAACAACUUAGGUAGUAAAUUUCAAAUAUAUUGGGUGUGGAAUGAUGGCUCCUUUUGCUCCUUUUGGAAGAAAGGAAACAAACAAAACUUAUCUAAGAAAAUAAAGGGGAGAACAAUGAGUUUGCCUUUCUGUUAAUUGCUUAAUUCUAUGAUUAAAGCUUGUUCAUGCGGUUUAUAUUUGUGGAUUCAUGGUACUGUAAUCUGGAUGUUGACAGAAUUAUACCGGUGAUCGAUUAA
rnacentral:misc_RNA from 1 species